UACGGAGGGGGCUAGCGUUGUUCGGAAUUACUGGGCGUAAAGCGCACGUAGGCGGCCAUUCAAGUCAGAGGUGAAAGCCCGGAGCUCAACUCCGGAAUUGCCUUUGAAACUAGGUGGCUUGAGCGUCGGAGAGGUGAGUGGAAUUCCGAGUGUAGAGGUGAAAUGCGUAGAUAUUCGGAAGAACACCAGUGGCGAAGGCGGCUCACUGGACGACUGCUGACGCUGAGGUGCGAAAGCGUGGGGAGCAGACAGG
rnacentral:rRNA from 1 species